CGCGCGCAACGCCCGGGCGUCGGAAAGCGGCGUUCCUGGGCACCGCAGUCUCCCCUUCUCCCUUUACCCCUCCCCUUUACCAUCCCCUUCACCCUUAGAGGCGCCAAGUCUUUGGCCUGCUUCUAAGGUGAACCCAACUCCCCAGAGUGCACCCCAGUCCUUGAGCCCGGCUGGCUUCAGGCUGUAGGGAGUGGGAUCCCGGGCCCCGGGCGGGCGGGAGGGACGGGACGCGGUGCAGUGUUGUUACUUCCCCCGCCAAUAUUGCACUCGUCCCGGCCUCCGGCCCCCUCGGCCCCCCGGCCUCCCCCUCUCCUCAAGCGGGGCAGCCCCCGCCCUCCUGGCUUUCGAUACCGGCCGAUCUGAGAUAGACUGGAGUGUCGCCGCUGCCACCAAGAAAAAUGGGGCACAGAGAAGGAAUGAUGUGCCCAACACUGGCUACAGGUCCUGUCUGUGGUGAGAAGGGAGACGGAGAGAAGUGGCCAUGGUCCCUACCCAUGGCACUGAGGAACUGAGCAGAGGAGAGGUCACUGGGGAGUCUUGAGCCUGCCCUCCAUCCAGACCCCUUGCAGCCAGCCAGAUGUGAAGGUCCAGCAAUAGGAAUGGAAGGGAGAUUAUGGGAAUAGAGGAUGAAGACUGAGCCAUAGAGAGAAGUGAGAAUGGACUAGAAGAAAGAAAAAUAUCCCCUGGAAGACUGUCUCUUGGCCAAGACCCCACCUGUCUUCAUUGGUGUCACAGACAUCUCCCACCAGGUCACUGUCUGCAUCUGUCUGAGAGAGGGGCCUGAUCUCACCAUCUCCUCUUGAUAACUCUGAAGAUGGUGACCCACUUCCCAUCCAAAGGGCUGGGGCUUUCCACUGAUGACCCUUCCCCUCCCCUGUACCUGGGUAGGAUUGCUCAUUUCAGGGCAGCUGUCACAAGCAUCUCCCACCCCAUCCGCAUCCCUGUCUGUCUGUAGCGGGUUAGGUACUUUAGGGCAAUUGUCCAAUCCAUUGGGGAUGCCUAGAAGACAUGGGGGAAAGCACAGAGUUGUUGCUAGAACACGUCUCACUCUUCUAACUUGGUGAACUUCCUGAGCUUGGUCUCCGUUAUGUUGGUCAUCUCCUCUGACCCAGGCCAGCUCCCACAGCAUGCCUCCCAAUUCUCAUAGACCUCCUAGCUUCCCUGACUCAUCCCCUCUAUCCAAAUUCCCAGCCUGCCCCUGAGCCCCAGGCCUGCACCAUCCCCAUCCACAUCGUUGUCACAGGCGUCUCCUUCUCCAUUGCCAUCUGUGUCCUUCUGGUCAUUGUUGGGAACAUUGGGGCAGUUGUCACAGGCAUCACCAAAUGAAUCUGUAUCUGA